rnacentral:rRNA from 1 species
GUGAGGAAUAUUGCGCAAUGGAGGCAACUCUGACGCAGCCAUGCCGCGUGCAGGAAGAAGGCGCUACGCGUUGUAAACUGCUUUUAACCGGGAAGAAACCCCAGGACGUGUCCUGGGUUGACGGUACCGGAGGAAUAAGCACCGGCUAACUUCGUGCCAGCAGCCGCGGUAAUACGAAGGGUGCAAGCGUUAUCCGGAUUCAUUGGGUUUAAAGGGUGAGUAGGCGGAGCGUUAAGUCAGUGGUGAAAUCCUGCAGCUUAACUGUAGACUUGCCAUUGAUACUGGCGCUCUUGAGUGCGCUUGAAGUGGGCGGAAUGUGCCGUGUAGCGGUGAAAUGCUUAGAUAUGGCACAGAACACCAAUUGCGAAGGCAGCUCACUAAGGCGAUACUGACGCUGAGGCACGAAAGCGUGGGGAUCGAACAGGAUUAGAAACCCCAGUAGUCC